GCUGGAAGAGGUGCGUUAUUCAGGUAGCGUAUGGGAAGAGCACAGACUCUGUUGAUCAUACGUGAGGGGAAUUAACGCCGAGAAGUAACACCGUUUGUGAGGUGCUUAUUUCGGGCGACUGGGCUGAAUCCCAGCGACUGUCACCAACAAUAGCAAAACGCUAUUGAUUAGUUUGGUGGAGAGCUUCUGGU
rnacentral:ncRNA from 1 species